rnacentral:rRNA from 1 species
UACGAAGGGGGCUAGCGUUGUUCGGAAUUACUGGGCGUAAAGCGCGCGUAGGCGGACGUUUAAGUCAGGGGUGAAAUGCCGGGGCUCAACCUCGGAACUGCCUUUGAUACUGGACGUCUGGAGUUCGGGAGAGGUGAGUGGAAUUCCGAGUGUAGAGGUGAAAUUCGUAGAUAUUCGGAGGAACACCAGAAGCGAAGGCGGCUCACUGGCCCGAUACUGACGCUGAGGCGCGAAAGCUAGGGGAGCAAACGGG